rnacentral:sRNA from 1 species
GGUAGGGCUGAUCUUCCCAGCCCGAACCCGUCAGCUAACUCGGUCGGCGG